AGGUUGUGCCCUUGAGGCGUGGCUUCCGGAGCUAACGCGUUAAGUCGACCGCCUGGGGAGUACGGCCGCAAGGUUAAAACUCAAAUGAAUUGACGGGGGCCCGCACAAGCGGUGGAGCAUGUGGUUUAAUUCGAUGCAACGCGAAGAACCUUACCUACUCUUGACAUCCAGAGAACUUAGCAGAGAUGCUUUGGUGCCUUCGGGAACUCUGAGACAGGUGCUGCAUGGCUGUCGUCAGCUCGUGUUGUGAAAUGUUGGGUUAAGUCCCGCAACGAGCGCAACCCUUAUCCUUUGUUGCCAGCGGUCCGGCCGGGAACUCAAAGGAGACUGCCAGUGAUAAACUGGAGGAAGGUGGGGAUGACGUCAAGUCAUCAUGGCCCUUACGAGUAGGGCUACACACGUGCUACAAUGGCGCAUACAAAGAGAAGCGACCUCGCGAGAGCAAGCGGACCUCAUAAAGUGCGUCGUAGUCCGGAUUGGAGUCUGCAACUCGACUCCAUGAAGUCGGAAUCGCUAGUAAUCGUGGAUCAGAAUGCCACGGUGAAUACGUUCCCGGGCCUUGUACACACCGCCCGUCACACCAUGGGAGUGGGUUGCAAAAGAAGUAGGUAGCUUAACCUUCGGGAGGGCGCUUACCACUUUGUGAUUCAUGACUGGGGUGAAGUCGUAACAAGGUAACCGUAGGGGAACCUGCGGUUGGAUCACCUCCUU
rnacentral:rRNA from 1 species